rnacentral:rRNA from 1 species
GACGAACGCUGGCGGCGUGCUUAACACAUGCAAGUCGAACGGAUCGGCGGAGCUUGCUCUGCUGGUUAGUGGCGAACGGGUGAGUAACACGUGAGCAAUCUGCCCCUGACUCUGGGAUAACUGCGGGAAACUGUAGCUAAUACCGGAUAUGACAACCGAUGGCAUCGUCUGGUUGUGGAAAGAAUUUCGGUCAGGGAUGAGCUCGCGGCCUAUCAGCUUGUUGGUGAGGUAAUGGCUCACCAAGGCGACGACGGGUAGCCGGCCUGAGAGGGAGACCGGCCACACUGGGACUGAGACACGGCCCAGACUCCUACGGGAGGCAGCAGUGGGGAAUAUUGCACAAUGGGCGAAAGCCUGAUGCAGCAACGCCGCGUGAGGGACGACGGCCUUCGGGUUGUAAACCUCUUUUGGCAGGGAAGAAGCGAAAGUGACGGUACCUGCAGAAAAAGCACCGGCUAACUACGUGCCAGCCGCCGCAGUAACAC